GCACAACCACGCAAGAUCCUGGGCAUUUCCAGUUUAUCCGGCAGCCGGGAGACUUCAGAGGAAUCUUAUUCGAAUAUUAAUUCGCAACAAACAAUUAUUAUGUUUCCUUUGCUGAAAGAGAAGGAAAAUUUGUACAGUAAUUUGAUGAAAUUUUUAUCCAUUUAUAUUCAUUUGCAUGUGAAAAUGAAAUUAACCCUUCACUUCUUUGACUCAUCUUCUGAAAAAAGAUUUAUCGAACAUACAUGCACUAAUCCUCGGAGGAGUGAAUCCUCAGAACUGCUCCCGCUUCUUUGUUGUGCCAACGAGAUGACAACGCACGUUUCGGGCCUCUAUCCCUGCCGGUGAGUGCUCCAGAGAGAAGUUGGUCCAUUCAAACUGAGCCAUAUCCUCCAUUGCUUUCGUGGCCUCCAAAUUGUUCAUUUUCUCAUCUUUCCUAGAAAAUUCCCUCAAUGGGAAUCAUGUUUCACAUUGAAGUUAGAAUAUAUUUCUUUUAACCAGAUAUUGUAGUUCAAGACUUUCCCCUUUCUGUAGAUAAAUCUAUCACAUCGGUAUAAUAUAUUCUCUGCGAAAAUUCAACUCCUCAAGGACUGAACCAAUAAUUUUCGGAUUGAAUGACUGAAGCAUUCACACGAAAAAAGCAGAGAUUCUGUUUAUAUAGUUUUUUAAAUUUAUAUCCUCAGUAGAUUUCAAAUGUAUACUAAAAUUCCCAAAUACCUUUUCGAUUCAAGUUUAUUUGAAAAAUAUGAUGAUAUGAAAUUGUGCAUAAUAAAAAGUUAUUUAAAUUGUA